GGGAGAGUAAAUAAAUGACUGUACAGAAUCUCUCUUAACAAGCACAAUAGCUGAAGCCACCUUUUUAGGUUCUUUGAAUGGAUUUCUAGCACACUUCAUGCCUCGAAGCACAUUGCUCUCUUACAGAAGCAUAAAUGAGGUUGUCCCAUAGAUGCAUUGGAGUUUGUAGAUGUUGUUUCUAUUGGAAUUGUCAGUGUAGCCAUGAGGCAUCUAGUCUGCUGGAAAUCUAAAGCAAAAGAGGAUCUAAAUCAGAGCUUCCCUUUGUGAACUCAAAGCACAAUAAAUCUUAUAAUGUCUGCAUGGCAUUUAACAGUACGUGACCAUCCAUGAAGGAUAAUCAAACUACAUACUGAACUUAUGAACUGAGAUCUCUUUCUUCCCUUAAUGAACACAAACACACUUCUCUUCAGUUUUAUUGGCAUUUAUUCUAAAGGGAAAAAUAUAGAAUUCAAUAAAUAUUAUGGCAACAACAUUGACAAAGACAUUUUGAAGGUGACAUCAACAUUCAAGAAAACGUGUGUAUACACCGGAAAGAAAGGAUUGGGAAAAGAAAAUAGGGACACGGGCGCUGAGCUGACAAAUGUGACAGCACUGGCAUUUGAACAAGCUAAUUGAGAAACUGAUGGUCACAUUAAAAGUGCAUCAAUACCGUUGAUAUUUAAACAGCUGCGUCAUUGCACUGUUGUUUGAGAGGAAGGAAAAAACACUAGUUCAAAAACACUUGUUUCUCAAGACUAAUUUUGAAAUUGACACAAAUCUCUUACAUUAUGUGACAUUACUGCGGAGGUCAUGAUACUCAAACACUGAAAUGACCCAAGGAAGAAAAAAAAAUACAAUCAUCCUUUCCGAGUUAAGGUCUGGUCUAGGGCUGCCACAAACGAUUAUUUUGAUAGUCGACUAGUCACCGAUUAUUUAUGCGAUUAGUCGACUAAUCAGAUCAUCAUCCACUGGACGUAAAACUACAGCUUAUUGCACCAGCAGCAUCUGCUCUUAUAUAACUAUCAUUAGCUUACAGCUUUAAGCUUUUAAGGUGCUAACUAAAAAUAAAGACAAGAUGAUAGUUUAUUCAAUUUUAAUGAAAUUUGCAGAUUGUUUCGGUGAAGUUUAAUAAACUCCUUGCUAUCUAAAAUAUAACAGGACAACGGAGUAUAUUCUCCAGCAUCUCACACUUCUGAUAAUCAGCUGUCUGCUUGACGUUUAUUCAGCUGUGUAAAAACUA
ensembl:lncRNA